rnacentral:rRNA from 1 species
UACGUAGGGUGCAAGCGUUGUCCGGAAUUAUUGGGCGUAAAGAGCUUGUAGGCGGUUUGUCGCGUCUGCUGUGAAAUUUCGGGGCUCAACCCCGAACUUGCAGUGGGUACGGGCAGACUAGAGUGUGGUAGGGGAGACUGGAAUUCCUGGUGUAGCGGUGAAAUGCGCAGAUAUCAGGAGGAACACCGGUGGCGAAGGCGGGUCUCUGGGCCGAUACUGACGCUGAGGCGCGAAAGCCAGGGGAGCGAACGGG